CCUACGGGAGGCAGCAGUGAGGAAUAUUGGUCAAUGGGCGCGAGCCUGACCCAGCCACGUAGCGUGAAGGAUGACUGCCCUACGGGUUGUAACCUUCUUUUAUAAAGGAGUAAAGUGAGGCACGUGUGCCUUUUUGUGUGUACUUUAUGUAUAAGGCUCGUCUAACUCCGUGCCAGCAGCCGCGGUAAUACGGAGGAUCCGAGCGUUAUCCGGAUUUAUUGGGUUAAAGGGGAUCGUAGGCGGAAUAUCAAAUCAGCGGUAAAAAUUCGGGGCUCAACCCCGUCGUGCCGUUGAAACUGAUGUUCUUGAGUGGUCGAGAAGUAUGCGGAAUGCGGGGUGUAGCGGUGAAAUGCAUAGAUAUCACGCAGAACUCCGAUGGCGAAGGCAGCAUACCGGCGCCCAACUGACGCUGAAGCACGAAAGCGUGGGUAGCGAACAGGAUUAGAUACCCCAGUAGUC
rnacentral:rRNA from 1 species